rnacentral:lncRNA from 1 species
GAGGGAGGUCAGGGACCGCCGGGCAGCGGCGGCGGCGGCGCCGCGGGCGGCGGAACCGCCGGCAGCGGCCAGCGCCGUCGCGGCGGCGACGCUGCGCGCUGCAGAGCCGGCGGCGGCUGCCGCUUUGCUGAGCCCCUUGCUAAUGGGCUUUUUGAUCUGGAUCCAAUGUACGGAAAAUAGAAGGGACGUGGGAAGGGAAAGGCGGUGGUUAGGAAGAGAAGAGAAGUGCUGAUUACCACACUGACAUAACCUGAGACAAAACGGCAAAAUGAACGUGACGCUAGAACGUCGCGACAGUAUUGCCAUAACGUCCUCGAAGGUUGAGGAACUGAGAUGUGGAUGUGGGGGCUGAGUGGUCCGCCAAUAUCAGGCAACUUAGCAUGCGGCAGGGGCUCGACCGAAGAAUGUUGGCCCUGGGGGCCCCCCCCUUUGGUGGUCCGGGGAGUACGGGGAAAGUGGCGGCGGACGUGUCGGUACCGGUGGUCAGGAGGGGGGGCACUGUCACACCAGGAUUCAACAUCCUUACAAACAUUGCCCCGCUCUAACUCGCCUCUAUGCCGUCAAGGCUGCCGUACCAGCAACCCAGAGCUGCCGUACCUCGAGUGACCGGUGCCGUACAAUCUUGCGUAUUGCUCCAUCAACAGCAGUAGCUGGGGCAGUAGGGGGUUUAGCAGUAGCAGUUCCGGGUGCAGCGCCGGCGCCAGGCUGCCACUUGGCGGCGGAGGUGCCGCCGCUGCCGCCGCCGCCGGCGGCACUUCGCCGGAACAGACCCAGGCGCCGUACGGUUAGUAACGACAAGGGUGAUGAAGACCAGGAGUAUAAGGCCCCGGCAGCGGUUUCCGAACGUGAGCGCGGGCGUGCGCCGCGAUCUGACGCUCUACCACCGCUACCGCUGUUGCUACUGCCGCCGCUACCAUGACUCCUGAUACCGCUACUGCCCGUUAGUGCAACCUCCGCGGCUGCCUGGACGAGCCGUGGCUGCCCCACCAGGGUGUUGGCUGUAGGGGGGCAAGAGCGUAUGUAUGUAUGUAUGUAUGUAUGUAUGUAUGUAUGCAAGAGGACGUUAUCUAUAUCUUUGGAGGAUAACGCAGCUCAACAUGUAGCACAUACAUGCACACAUGCAUACACACAAAUUGUAAUCCGGGGUGAGAAAUUGCUCACACACGAAAGCCGCAGGACUGACCGACCGGGUGUCUCCAGGGGGGAUCCUUCACCCCCCUCCCGACACCCCCCACCCCCUGCCCCCCCCCUCACCUACGUACACCGCCACCAGUGUGACCC